AUUGAACGCUGGCGGCAGGCCUAACACAUGCAAGUCGAGCGGAUGAAGGGAGCUUGCUCCUGGAUUCAGCGGCGGACGGGUGAGUAAUGCCUAGGAAUCUGCCUGGUAGUGGGGGAUAACGUCCGGAAACGGGCGCUAAUACCGCAUACGUCCUGAGGGAGAAAGUGGGGGAUCUUCGGACCUCACGCUAUCAGAUGAGCCUAGGUCGGAUUAGCUAGUUGGUGGGGUAAAGGCCUACCAAGGCGACGAUCCGUAACUGGUCUGAGAGGAUGAUCAGUCACACUGGAACUGAGACACGGUCCAGACUCCUACGGGAGGCAGCAGUGGGGAAUAUUGGACAAUGGGCGAAAGCCUGAUCCAGCCAUGCCGCGUGUGUGAAGAAGGUCUUCGGAUUGUAAAGCACUUUAAGUUGGGAGGAAGGGCAGUAAGUUAAGACCUUGCUGUUUGGACGUUACCAACAGAAUAAGCACCGGCGAACUUCGG
rnacentral:rRNA from 1 species